UACGUAGGGGGGCUAGCGUUGUCCGGAAUCAUUGGGCGUAAAGAGCGUGUAGGCGGCCCGGUAAGUCCGCUGUAAAAGUCAAAGGCUCAACCUUUGAAUGUCAGUGGAUACUGCCGGGCUAGAGUCCGGAAGAGGCGAGUGGAACUCCUGGUGUAGCGGUGGAAUGCGCAGAUAUCAGGAGAACACCAACGGCGAAGGCAGCUCGCUGGGACGGUACUGACGCUGAGACGACGAAGCGUGGGGAGCGAACAGG
rnacentral:rRNA from 1 species